rnacentral:lncRNA from 10 species
CACCAUGCCCAGCUAAUUUUGUAUUUUUAGUAGAGUCGGGGUUUCGAUAUCUUGGUCAGGCUGGUCUUGAACUCCUGACCUCAGAUGAUCCGCCCACCUCAGCCUCACAAAGUGCUGAGAUUACAGGCAUGAGCCCCCGCGCCCGGCCUGGGGUUUCCUUUAAGCAUAACUUCCUAGGUUCCAUUUCACACUCACUGAAACAAUAUUGUCCACUGGACGGGUAUAACAACUUGUCUUUUCAGGAGAGUACCCCAAAUGAUAGCUAUGAUCUGACAGUUAGACAAUGAGUUAUAAGGGACAGUUAGUAGCUGGCAAUGUCAUGAGACUUCAUGAACGAGAUGAGUUUUUAAUGAGUUGAUUUUAAACUACUUUCCUCUCCAUUUUGGUUCCUGAUGGCACUAGCAUAUCAGGCUAAUGGUGAAUGCCUAAUGAAUGACGUUGCCUGGAAAACUGGUAAAAACCAGAUUAAAGUAUGCUCCUGCCAAGCACUGGCUUAGUUAAAUGAAUGUAAUCGGAGAAAAGGAAUCCUCGGAAAUGUGAGAAAACUACACAAAACAAUCGCAUUGGGGGAUGAGCCAGAAGCUGACCGUGAAAAUGAGGCUCUAGAUACACAGUCACUCAAGUGCUUUUUCAAAACUGAACUUCCAUAUCUCUUUGGCCCUAUCCCAAUAUGGAAGGACUAUAGUAGAUAAACAUCUGAAUGAGAAAAUGAAUAUUAUGCCAUACUGAUUCUACCAGGUUUAUACAGCUGUGGACCAAGUGAGUCAACAGUAAUAUGCCUUUAAAAAUUGAACAAACGUGAAACAAAAUGUCUUCAGGAAAUAAGAUUUAACCUGCAGGUUUAACUAGCCACAUUUUCCCCACGAAAAAGAGCCACUAAAAUAUGUAUCUGGAACCUUCGUGGAAGCAAGUCAAAGGAAUUUGAAGGAAAAGCUGAAGGAAUCACAUGGAGCCAUGCAUGAAACAAUGGGACCACCUAGUGUCAUCUGAACUUUUCCACUAAAGGGCUUAUCAUCACCCAGUUUCCUCUUGCCUAUGGUGUACGACUAGUGACUGAGUAGAGGGCUGGGUAGGAAAAAACAUCCAUUUCUAUUUGGGAUUUGGAGUUUGGGUGGAAGUAGAACAAGAUAACAACUGUCACCAGGAUCUAUUACCUUCUGAUAAGCUCUGGAAGGACCUGGUGCUCAUCUGACUGUUCACAGAUCCUUUUUAUCAAGACUGUUAUUCAGCUAAUCCAGAUGUCCUACUGAAACUGAUUAUUUUUUUCAACCUAGUGUCUUCUUUUGGUCAAAAUCCUUACCUAAUUUUCAAACAGAACCAAAAUAAUAACCAGUGCCUGCAAAACUUUUUGUGUCAAAAGUUCUUAUUCUCUAAGCACUUGGGGAAUUAUUUACGCAAGGCUCGUGUACAGAUCUACAUGUCCUAGGCUAACAACAGCUAGAGAGCCUUUAGGAUAUUUAAUUUGCUU